ACACAGACGAGCUACAUUUCAAAAAGACGUUUGUCUAUUUUACAAACAAGAAAGUGAAAGGAUACCCCGUUAAACGCCUCUUCUUUAAACUAUUACAGUAUUCUUUUCUCUAACCAACUUUUAUUACCUUCUCAUCUCUCUGUUUCGUUUCGCUAAUGUUUAUCUUUCACUUUAUGUAAAGAAUGACUUUUUUCCUGCGUAGAUGUAGUAGAUACCUUUUGGUUUUAAACCACUCCCGGAAAUUACCAAGAGAAUAAUGUUUGAAACAGUUUGAAAAAAAAGCCCUAGUAAUUAAGACUAUUGUGGUCAUUUUGAUUGGGAUUAAUUGUUCGAAAUGAUGAUACGUCAAUUAUUUCUCCUUGUUCAGCUUUUGAUUGUCUCCGUGUUCGCUAUAGAUGGGAAAUGUGGGUACGAUGCACUACCCGGCGGAGGAAUUCCGUCAAGUCGUAUUCUAAAUGCAGAAACAUCACAAAGAUGUCAGUGGCCAUGGAUGGUCUCUGUUAGAAGAACUGGUACUAAGGAUAUGUGUGCUGGGGUAUUAAUUGAUGAAGACAAAGUGCUGACAACUGCUCGGUGUUCAGCGGCUUUAGAGAGUUUGGGUGGACAGUUUGAAGUUGUGAUUGGGGAGUAUAACAUUGAGGUAGAAGAUGAAAAGGAUGGACUGGGAAAACCAACAGAAACUAUUAUACCAGUUACGUCAAUGAGUCAACAUCCGGAAUAUGAUGGCAUUUGCAUUUCUAAUGAUAUAGCUGUAGUAAGAUUAGCUAAAGCUGUAGAGUAUGGUGAAUGUGCUCUACCAGCAUGUGUAACACAGACCAGGGGUACUGAUGAGUACUGUGAUGAUUAUAUUGAAGAAUGUGUCAUGGCUGGCUGGGGAAAAUAUAAAGCUGUAGGAGCAGAGAAAUCACCAAAACUACGAUGGGCCUACACCGAAAUGUUGGGACCGGAAGUAUGUAGUGCUAUCUACCGGUAUGGGGAUAACUCUACAUUACCCGAGAAUAUUUUCUGUUUAGAUGAAAGCAAGAACAAGCAGACAGCCUGUUUGGGUGACGAAGGUGGAAUGGUACUAUGUAAUCUGAAAGGACAAUGGGUGUUAAAGGGUUUAAUCAGUCUAACUUCGUGUGGAGAUUCUUUACCCUCUCUGGCAGUUGAUAUCGCUAGUUCUACAAUCAAUGAUUUUGUUUCCAGGAAUUAAUGUUUUGGUAAAGAAACCCUUUAUGUAUAGAUAACUCUCGCUAGAUCAAAACUAACCCCAAUCUAAGAUAAUACAAUCUGGUUAAAAUACAGGGGCCUUAUUUGUCUCUUUGUAUAUUUUUACUGUUAAGGGCUAUUUACUUGUUGUAUUGCGCCAUCUUGCCUACUUUUGAUUACUAUUUGCCAAUUCUGUAGCCGUCUUUGCGAAUUAAAUAAAGUUUGAUAAUUUUAUAAUUAA